CAGAGACACAACAGAGACAGUUUCCCACGGAAAGCUCCAGACAGAAGUGCAGGAACCACCAAAACAUCCAGAGAAAGGAAACACGACUGGCUGCUUUUCGAUAGGCCAAGGACACGGCCCAGAAGACUAGCAGGCCUUCAGGGUGCCGGAUGUUCGUGGCUCUGGAGGUGGGCAGAUUCGAGGUCGGUGCCGCUGCCUGAUGUGUUGUGGGAGUACACGGAAGACCGGAAGCAGCGAGCUGGCUGUGGCUGUGUGCCCAGAGACCCGAGUUCUUUGGACACAGAGCUCAGAAAAAGCAACGGAACAGACUUUUAACACCAUAAAUCGGCCAGUUGUUUUGUUAUGUCUCCCCUCUCACUGUGAAAUGGAGACACCUCUUUUUCCCUUAUUAGGGAGAGAGAGAGAGAGAGCCUGUGGUAUGUUAAAUUACUGAGUGAAUGAGUAAUCUUUGGGGUACUACAAGUCUGUAUCUUUAUUGAUGCUUUGCUACACACUACGUUGAGUACUUGGUGGGGGUGUGCCGAUGCUUUUUUCUGGUGGUGGGGUCAUUGCUUUGCUGCUGCUUAUGUGUAGGAGGGGGAGCUGGGGGGUGCUUUGGGGUUCUAACAUUUAACUAUCAUUCAUCCGUUGGGGCACUCCUCAGUUUUCGCGGAUAUUUGCAAAGAAAAAAAAAAUCAGGAUGUAUAUUGUAUACAUUUCUCUGACGCUAAGUGUACCUAUUAAAUUCAAUUAAUAAUU